CACAUCCCGUGCGGCGGAAUAUUUUGCUGUGCCGCAGCCGAAACGUGGGCUGGGGGCAACAGCAACCUCACCCCGCACGCUGUAACAGGGGCACAUCCCGUGCGGCGGAAUAUUUUGCUGUGCCGCAGCCGAAACGUGGGCUGGGGGCAACAGCAACCUUACCCCGCACGCUGUAACAGGACAAGCUUGUUUGCACCAGAUGCCCAGUACCAGCCAUGUGUACCAAGCUGUGUGUUUGUGUGGAGUUUCUGUUUUGAGAUGGAUGCACGGCACGAAUGGGAGAUUGAUAGAUUGCUGACACGGCCUGCCACCCCGCCUGGCUUGACACGAAGCGUGCAUAGGUCGGGGGCGAGCCCCCGGAAAAUUUUUGGGAUGAAAGAUGUGGCGGCAGUUUCUCAAAAGAUGGUCUAUUUCGGAAGUCUGUCACUGGCGCCGCACCUGCCUUCUUAAGAUACGAGCGCUGAAGCAGAGCACGUGGUAGGCAGCAGGAGCGUGACGUGUGUGUGCGCUGCGCCUGCUGGCUGCGCUUAGUAACUGGACACGACACGACUGGAGAUCUGGCUGGCGGGGCCUUGCGCAACCCCGCAGGUUUGCAUCUUCCAGGGGUAGGCCGGCGCCGCUGGCGCUGGAAGGGCCCUCAGCACGUUCUCGCUCACGGCAUCCAGGGGCCCAAAAUGCCUAGUUUUUAGCGUUUGGAACCCAAA
rnacentral:lncRNA from 1 species